UUCUGAUCAUCUAGGGUAAACU
rnacentral:miRNA from 1 species